rnacentral:rRNA from 1 species
CCCUAUGGGGUGCAGCAGGCGCGAAACCUCUACAAUGCACGCAAGUGUGAUAGGGGGAUCCCAAGUGCUCAUGUUUUCAUGGGCUUUUGCCAAGAGUAAAAAUCUUGGCGAAUAAGGGGUGGGUAAGACUGGUGCCAGCCGCCGCGGUAACACCAGCGCCCCGAGUGGUGACCGCGUUUAUUGGGCCUAAAGCGUUCGUAGCCGGUUAAGUAAAUCUCUUGUGAAAUUGUCAAGCUCAACUUGACACCGUGCAGGAGACACUGCUUGACUAGGAACCGGGAGGAGUCAGAAGUAUUCCAGGGGGAGCGGUAAAAUGUUAUAAUCCUUGGAAGACUACCUGUGGCGAAGGCGUCUGACCAGAACGGAUUCGACGGUGAGGAACGAAAGCCAGGGGAGCAAAACGGAUUAGAUACCCGAGUAGUCCUGGCUGUAAACUCUGCGAGCAAGGUGUUGCAUAUUCUACAUGAAUGUGCAGUACCGUAACGAAGGUGUUAAGCUCGCCGCCUGGGAAGUACGGUCGCAGGACUGAAACUUAAAGGAAUUGGCGGGGGAGCACUACAAGGGGUGCGGCGUGCGGUUUAAUCUAACUCCACACAGAGAAUCUCACCAGGGGCGACGGCAGAAUGAAAGUCAUGCUGAAGACAUUACUUGACGAGCCGAGAGGUGGUGCAUGGCC